rnacentral:rRNA from 1 species
GGGUUGUGAGGUUAAGCGACUAAGCGUACACGGUGGAUGCCCUGGCAGUCAGAGGCGAUGAAGGACGUGCUAAUCUGCGAUAAGCGUCGGUAAGGUGAUAUGAACCGUUAUAACCGGCGAUUUCCGAAUGGGGAAACCCAGUGUGUUUCGACACACUAUCAUUAACUGAAUCCAUAGGUUAAUGAGGCGAACCGGGGGAACUGAAACAUCUAAGUACCCCGAGGAAAAGAAAUCAACCGAGAUUCCCCCAGUAGCGGCGAGCGAACGGGGAGCAGCCCAGAGCCUGAAUCAGUGUGUGUGUUAGUGGAAGCGUCUGGAAAGGCGCGCGAUACAGGGUGACAGCCCCGUACACAAAAAUGCACAUGCUGUGAGCUCGAUGAGUAGGGCGGGACACGUGGUAUCCUGUCUGAAUAUGGGGGGACCAUCCUCCAAGGCUAAAUACUCCUGACUGACCGAUAGUGAACCAGUACCGUGAGGGAAAGGCGAAAAGAACCCCGGCGAGGGGAGUGAAAAAGAACCUGAAACCGUGUACGUACAAGCAGUGGGAGCACGCUUAGGCGUGUGACUGCGUACCUUUUGUAUAAUGGGUCAGCGACUUAUAUUCUGUAGCAAGGUUAACCGAAUAGGGGAGCCGAAGGGAAACCGAGUCUUAACUGGGCGUUAAGUUGCAGGGUAUAGACCCGAAACCCGGUGAUCUAGCCAUGGGCAGGUUGAAGGUUGGGUAACACUAACUGGAGGACCGAACCGACUAAUGUUGAAAAAUUAGCGGAUGACUUGUGGCUGGGGGUGAAAGGCCAAUCAAACCGGGAGAUAGCUGGUUCUCCCCGAAAGCUAUUUAGGUAGCGCCUCGUGAAUUCAUCUCUGGGGGUAGAGCACUGUUUCGGCAAGGGGGUCAUCCCGACUUACCAACCCGAUGCAAACUGCGAAUACCGGAGAAUGUUAUCACGGGAGACACACGGCGGGUGCUAACGUCCGUCGUGAAGAGGGAAACAACCCAGACCGCCAGCUAAGGUCCCAAAGUCAUGGUUAAGUGGGAAACGAUGUGGGAAGGCCCAGACAGCCAGGAUGUUGGCUUAGAAGCAGCCAUCAUUUAAAGAAAGCGUAAUAGCUCACUGGUCGAGUCGGCCUGCGCGGAAGAUGUAACGGGGCUAAACCAUGCACCGAAGCUGCGGCAGCGACGCUGAUGCGUUGUUGGGUAGGGGAGCGUUCUGUAAGCCUGUGAAGGUGUGCUGUGAGGCAUGCUGGAGGUAUCAGAAGUGCGAAUGCUGACAUAAGUAACGAUAAAGCGGGUGAAAAGCCCGCUCGCCGGAAGACCAAGGGUUCCUGUCCAACGUUAAUCGGGGCAGGGUGAGUCGACCCCUAAGGCGAGGCCGAAAGGCGUAGUCGAUGGGAAACAGGUUAAUAUUCCUGUACUUGGUGUUACUGCGAAGGGGGGACGGAGAAGGCUAUGUUGGCCGGGCGACGGUUGUCCCGGUUUAAGCGUGUAGGCUGGUUUUCCAGGCAAAUCCGGAAAAUCAAGGCUGAGGCGUGAUGACGAGGCACUACGGUGCUGAAGCAACAAAUGCCCUGCUUCCAGGAAAAGCCUCUAAGCAUCAGGUAACAUCAAAUCGUACCCCAAACCGACACAGGUGGUCAGGUAGAGAAUACCAAGGCGCUUGAGAGAACUCGGGUGAAGGAACUAGGCAAAAUGGUGCCGUAACUUCGGGAGAAGGCACGCUGAUAUGUAGGUGAAGUCCCUUGCGGAUGGAGCUGAAAUCAGUCGAAGAUACCAGCUGGCUGCAACUGUUUAUUAAAAACACAGCACUGUGCAAACACGAAAGUGGACGUAUACGGUGUGACGCCUGCCCGGUGCCGGAAGGUUAAUUGAUGGGGUCAGCGCAAGCGAAGCUCUUGAUCGAAGCCCCGGUAAACGGCGGCCGUAACUAUAACGGUCCUAAGGUAGCGAAAUUCCUUGUCGGGUAAGUUCCGACCUGCACGAAUGGCGUAAUGAUGGCCAGGCUGUCUCCACCCGAGACUCAGUGAAAUUGAACUCGCUGUGAAGAUGCAGUGUACCCGCGGCAAGACGGAAAGACCCCGUGAACCUUUACUAUAGCUUGACACUGAACAUUGAGCCUUGAUGUGUAGGAUAGGUGGGAGGCUUUGAAGUGUGGACGCCAGUCUGCAUGGAGCCGACCUUGAAAUACCACCCUUUAAUGUUUGAUGUUCUAACGUUGACCCGUAAUCCGGGUUGCGGACAGUGUCUGGUGGGUAGUUUGACUGGGGCGGUCUCCUCCUAAAGAGUAACGGAGGAGCACGAAGGUUGGCUAAUCCUGGUCGGACAUCAGGAGGUUAGUGCAAUGGCAUAAGCCAGCUUGACUGCGAGCGUGACGGCGCGAGCAGGUGCGAAAGCAGGUCAUAGUGAUCCGGUGGUUCUGAAUGGAAGGGCCAUCGCUCAACGGAUAAAAGGUACUCCGGGGAUAACAGGCUGAUACCGCCCAAGAGUUCAUAUCGACGGCGGUGUUUGGCACCUCGAUGUCGGCUCAUCACAUCCUGGGGCUGAAGUAGGUCCCAAGGGUAUGGCUGUUCGCCAUUUAAAGUGGUACGCGAGCUGGGUUUAGAACGUCGUGAGACAGUUCGGUCCCUAUCUGCCGUGGGCGCUGGAGAAUUGAGGGGGGCUGCUCCUAGUACGAGAGGACCGGAGUGGACGCAUCACUGGUGUUCGGGUUGUCAUGCCAAUGGCACUGCCCGGUAGCUAAAUGCGGAAGAGAUAAGUGCUGAAAGCAUCUAAGCACGAAACUUGCCCCGAGAUGAGUUCUCCCUGACUCCUUGAGAGUCCUGAAGGAACGUUGAAGACGACGACGUUGAUAGGCCGGGUGUGUAAGCGCAGCGAUGCGUUGAGCUAACCGGUACUAAUGAACCGUGAGGCUUAACCUUACAACGCCGAAGGUGUUU